UGACCAUGAUGACAAAAAGGCCGGACUUACAGCUGCUACCAUACCAUCGCUUGAGUGGGUUGGUUGGUAGUAGAUUGACGAAAGUCACAAUGAAGGUGUUUGCUGAGCCAG